rnacentral:miRNA from 15 species
AAGCCCUUUUAUUAAUCAUCUGC